rnacentral:rRNA from 1 species
GAGUGAACGCUGGCGGUAGGCCUACCCCCUGCAAGUCGAACGGCAGCACAGUAAGAGCUUGCUCUUACGGGUGGCGAGUGGCGGACGGGUGAGGAAUACAUCGGAAUCUACUUUUUCGUGGGGGAUAACGUAGGGAAACUUACGCUAAUACCGCAUACGACCUACGGGUGAAAGCAGGGGAUCUUCGGACCUUGCGCGAUUGAAUGAGCCGAUGUCGGAUUAGCUAGUUGGCGGGGUAAAGGCCCACCAAGGCGACGAUCCGUAGCUGGUCUGCGAGGAUGGUCAGCCACACUGGAACUGAGACACGGUCCAGACUCCUACGGGAGGCAGCAGUGGGGAAUAUUGGACAAUGGGCGCAAGCCUGAUCCAGCCAUACCGCGUGGGUGAAGAAGGCCUUCGGGUUGUAAAGCCCUUUUGUUGGGAAAGAAAAGCAGCAGGUUAAUACCCCGCUGUUCUGACGGUACCCAAAGAAUAAGCACCGGCUAACUUCGUG